CUUCUUUCUAAGCUGCCUGGCUUUCUCUUCUGUGAAGCAACCCAGAGCGAAUCUGGUUCUUCGCCGAUCCAGUUCCGAAUCGAACUUCGACUUAGCGGAUUGCCCAUCGGAUCCAUCAAUGUCGGAAGGGCCGGUGCUGGAGAUGGAGUUAACGUAGUCGGGAUCGGAGGACCAGCCGAAGAGCGGGGCCCACCAGGUGGAAGAAGCAGUCCUGCGAUUCUGGUCUGGUUUUCUAGCGGAUCCGGGCGAGGCCCGGAUUUGAGCGGUCAGGGAGCAGUUGAGCGUGAUAGCAGAGGCCAUGGACGUAGAGAGAGAAGGAUCAGAAAAUUGGAAGUGUUCAGUGGGAGAAAAUGUAACCAAGAGGCUACGAACACAGGAGAUGGUUGCGUACCAUGGUUUGGAUAAAAGCUAGGCGAAG
rnacentral:misc_RNA from 1 species